rnacentral:rRNA from 1 species
CCUACGGGUGGCAGCAGUGGGGAAUAUUGGACAAUGGGCGAAAGCCUGAUCCAGCCAUGCCGCGUGUGUGAGGAAGGCCUUCGGGUUGUAAAGCACUUUCAGUGGGGAAGAAAGCCUUGGGGCUAAUACCCUCGAGGAAGGACAUCACCCACAGAAGAAGCACCGGCUAACUCCGUGCCAGCAGCCGCGGUAAUACGGAGGGUGCGAGCGUUAAUCGGAAUUACUGGGCGUAAAGCGCGCGUAGGCGGUCUGAUAAGCCGGUUGUGAAAGCCCCGGGCUCAACCUGGGAACGGCAUCCGGAACUGUCAGGCUAGAGUGCAGGAGAGGAAGGUAGAAUUCCCGGUGUAGCGGUGAAAUGCGUAGAGAUCGGGAGGAAUACCAGUGGCGAAGGCGGCCUUCUGGACUGACACUGACGCUGAGGUGCGAAAGCGUGGGUAGCAAACAGGAUUAGAUACCCUGGUAGUC